UGUUGUGUGUAGAUAUCAAUGGCCACUGACAGUGGAAGUUUGAUGGCUUAUUCCUGAAGCUGCGUAGCUGGAAAAGGCUUCUGCAACCACGUAGUAGCCCUCCUUUACCAGACUGCACACUAUUCACAGCUCAGUUUGCCGACUGUUCCACCACCCCUGGCCUGCACAAGUGAUUUACAACGCUGGCAUAGACCAAGAACACAGGGAAUCCAUCCUGAACCUGUGAAUGACGUGGUGGUGCAAAAGCCAAAGAAGGUGGGCAAGAGUGGUCUUAGCUCCACAUUGUACCAGGCAUAUUCAGGACCAUUUCCUGACCCUGAUAUGAUGGCAUCUGGAGCCAAGCUACGCCAGGAGCAACCCCAGCCUCUCAUUGCUCUCGUAUUAGAUGGCAUGUCUGAGAUAGAGCUGACUCCAUCUAAAUUUGGGCCUGUCCCACAAGGAUCCCCGCUGUCAUAUCAUUGCCCACCUGAAAAGUCCAGUGACCUUAUCCUGCACCACUUGGCUCCUGAAUUCCUGGGUCUUCCUUUUAUGCAGCAUACUUUUUCCAACUUGCACUUUGUUCCAACGUUGCAUCAGCUCAUGCACCUCCAGUCACUCCAAGUGUCACCACAAAUGACCAGUGAAAUUGAGAAGGGAACCAGGCAGCAGUCAAAAUGUCCUGCAUGGGCACAGUUACGUCAACCACGGUUAACUGCCAGUCGCUUUCGAGAGGCCUGCUCUUCCUGGGAGGGAAGUGUGGACCCAGAGUCUGCAGCAAAGGCCCUCGCUGUCCAAAUGAUAAGAGGCUCCAAAAAGCAAACUGCUGCAAUGAAGCGGGUCUCCUAAUGGAGUCAGAGGUCCUGGAAAGUUAUGCUGAAGUAAUGCGAGUUAAUGUGCUCCCUGCUGGAUUUGUCAUUCACCCAGAAGCACCACAUCUCGGGGCAAGUCCAGAUGGUAGGGUGUAUGAUCCUUCAGAGUCACCACCAUUUGGACUUGUUGAAGUGAACAGCACCACUGAACACGAUGCUUCGCAGGUUGCUCACCUUAAAAGGGAAAAUGGCUCUGUCAGUCUGAGGCUUGGGACAGUUAGCAGUAACCAGCCUAGAGUGGUGUGACUUUGUCACAGACACACAGAUAAGUUUGUCUGUUGAAAGAAUUUGGCAAGAUGAUUCAUUCAUAAUCAAAAUGAAGGACAAAUUAGACCUUUUCUACUACAACACAUACAUGAAUGUUUACUUGGAAUCACACUGAAUUGUUUAGGACUCUCAAUAGAUGUCUGAUGUAAUUUACUGUGAAUAAUUUUAAUUAAUCUUUUGUUUUUACUCAUUUUAUAUUUUACAUAUUAACUAAUUAAUUAGUUGAUUUUCAUCUUUGCACAGUAUAAAAUCAAAAUGUUGAUGUUUAUCGAAUCAGUUCAUGUUCAUCUACCUGUCUACAGCAUAACACCUUGCUCAUGGCACACAAGGCCCAAAAUGAUGAUGCUCCCACUUACCUACUGACUGUGAAGUGUGGUGAAUUGAUUCAAUAAAUCA